rnacentral:rRNA from 1 species
CCUACGGGAGGCAGCAGUGGGGAAUAUUGGGCAAUGGGCGCAAGCCUGACCCAGCAACGCCGCGUGAAGGAAGAAGGCUUUCGGGUUGUAAACUUCUUUUCUCAGGGACGAAGAAAGUGACGGUACCUGAGGAAUAAGCCACGGCUAACUACGUGCCAGCAGCCGCGGUAAUACGUAGGUGGCAAGCGUUAUCCGGAUUUACUGGGUGUAAAGGGCGUGUAGGCGGGAAAGCAAGUCAGAUGUGAAAACCAUGGGCUCAACCUGUGGCCUGCAUUUGAAACUGUUUUUCUUGAGUACUGGAGAGGCAGACGGAAUUCCUCGUGUAGCGGUGAAAUGCGGAGAUAUGAGGAGGAACACCAGUGGCGAAGGCGGUCUGCUGGACAGCAACUGACGCUGAGGCGCGAAAGCGUGGGGAGCAAACAGGAUUAGAUACCCGAGUAGUC